AUUUUGUAUGUACCAUAUGAAUAAGGAUCGGCUAACUCCGUGCCAGCAGCCGCGGUAAUACGGAGGAUCCGAGCGUUAUCCGGAUUUAUUGGGUUUAAAGGGAGCGUAGGUGGAUUGUUAAGUCAGUUGUGAAAGUUUGCGGCUCAACCGUAAAAUUGCAGUUGAUACUGGCUGUCUUGAGUACAGUAGAGGUGGGCGGAAUUCGUGGUGUAGCGGUGAAAUGCUUAGAUAUCACGAAGAACUCCGAUUGCGAAGGCAGCUCACUAGACUGUCACUGACACUGAUGCUCGAAAGUGUGGGUAUCAAACAGGAUUAGAUACCCUGGUAGUCCACACAGUAAACGAUGAAUACUCGCUGUUUGCGAUAUACAGUAAGCGGCCAAGCGAAAGCAUUAAGUAUUCCACCUGGGGAGUACGCCGGCAACGGUGAAACUCAAAGGAAUUGACGGGGGCCCGCACAAGCGGAGGAACAUGUGGUUUAAUUCGAUGAUACGCGAGGAACCUUACCCGGGCUUAAAUUGCAACAGAAUAUAUUGGAAACAGUAUAGCCGUAAGGCUGUUGUGAAGGUGCUGCAUGGUUGUCGUCAGCUCGUGCCGUGAGGUGUCGGCUUAAGUGCCAUAACGAGCGCAACCCUUAUCUUUAGUUACUAACAGGUCAUGCUGAGGACUCUAGAGAGACUGCCGUCGUAAGAUGUGAGGAAGGUGGGGAUGACGUCAAAUCAGCACGGCCCUUACGUCCGGGGCUACACACGUGUUACAAUGGGGGGUACAGAAGGCGGCUACCUGGUGACAGGAUGCUAAUCCCAAAAACCUCUCUCAGUUCGGAUCGAAGUCUGCAACCCGACUUCGUGAAGCUGGAUUCGCUAGUAAUCGCGCAUCAGCCAUGGCGCGGUGAAUACGUUCCCGGGCCUUGUACACACCGCCCGUCAAGCCAUGAAAGCCGGGGGUACCUGAAGUACGUAACCGCAAGGAGCGUCCUAGGGUAAAACUGGUAAUUGGGGCUAAGUCGUAACAAGGUAGCCGUACCGGAAGGUGCGGCUG
rnacentral:rRNA from 1 species